rnacentral:rRNA from 1 species
UACGUAGGGACCGAGCGUUGUCCGGAAUCAUUGGGCGUAAAGAGCGUGUAGGCGGCCAAUUAAGUCCUGCGUGAAAUCUCGGGGCUCAACCCCGAGCGGUCGUGGGAAACUGGUUGGCUAGAGUGCGGGAGAGGAGAGUGGAAUUCCUGGUGUAGCGGUGAAAUGCGCAGAUAUCAGGAAGAACACCCGUGGCGAAGGCGGCUCUCUGGAACGCAACUGACGCUGAGGAACGAAAGCGUGGGGAGCGAACAGG